GCUGGGUGUGGCGGCGCAUACCUGUAAUCCCAGCUACUCAGGAGGCUGAGGCAGGAGAAUCGCUUGAACCCAGGAGGCGGAGGUUGCAGUGAGCCAAGAUUGUGCCACUGCACUCCAGCCUGGGUAACACAGUGAGACUGUCUCUU
ensembl:misc_RNA Metazoa_SRP Metazoan signal recognition particle RNA